AUUGAACGCUGGCGGCAUGCUUUACACAUGCAAGUCGAACGGCAGCGCGGGCUUCGGCCUGGCGGCGAGUGGCGAACGGGUGAGUAAUGCAUCGGAACGUGCCCAGUAGUGGGGGAUAGCCCGGCGAAAGCCGGAUUAAUACCGCAUACGACCUGAGGGUGAAAGCGGGGGACCGAAAGGCCUCGCGCUAUUUGAUCGGCCGAUGUCGGAUUAGCUAGUUGGUGGGGUAAAGGCUUACCAAGGCGACGAUCCGUAGCUGGUCUGAGAGGACGACCAGCCACACUGGGACUGAGACACGGCCCAGACUCCUACGGGAGGCAGCAGUGGGGAAUUUUGGACAAUGGGGGCAACCCUGAUCCAGCCAUGCCGCGUGCGGGAAGAAGGCCUUCGGGUUGUAAACCGCUUUUGUUCGGGAAGAAAUACUCUGGGCUAAUACCCCGGGGGGAUGACGGUACCGGAAGAAUAAGCACCGGCUAACUACGUG
rnacentral:rRNA from 1 species